AAUAUUGGACAAUGGGGGCAACCCUGAUCCAGCCAUGCCGCGUGUGUGAAGAAGGUCUUCGGCUUNUCAAGCACUUUAAGUUGGGANGAAGGGCUUUAGGUUAAUACCCUGAAGUUUUGACGUUACCAACAGAAUAAGCACCGGCUAACUCUGUGCCAGCAGCCGCGGUAAUACAGAGGGUGCAAUCGUUAAUCGGAAUUACUGGGCGUAAAGCGCGCGUUGGUGGUUCAGGAAGACGGGUGUGAAAACCCCGGGCUUAACCUGGGAACAGCGUUCAUAACUGCUGCGCUAGAGUACGGUAGAGGGUAGUGGAAUUUCCUGUGUAGCGGUGAAAUGCGUAGAUAUAGGAAGGAACACCAGUGGCGAAGGCGACUACCUGGACUGAUACUGACACUGAGGUGCGAAAGCGUGGGGAGCAAAC
rnacentral:rRNA from 1 species